UACGUAGGGUGCAAGCGUUGUCCGGAAUUAUUGGGCGUAAAGAGCUCGUAGGCGGUUCGUCGCGUCGGCUGUGAAAAACCUGAGGCUCAACCUCAGGCCUGCAGUCGAUACGGGCGGACUUGAGUACUGCAGGGGAGACUGGAAUUCCUGGUGUAGCGGUGAAAUGCGCAGAUAUCAGGAGGAACACCGGUGGCGAAGGCGGGUCUCUGGGCAGUAACUGACGCUGAGGAACGAAAAGCCAGGGGAGCGAACGGGG
rnacentral:rRNA from 1 species